rnacentral:lncRNA from 1 species
CUCCUCCUCUUCACCUCCGCGCCCAGCUGCUUCCAGAGCGCAGUUCCGACCCACAGCCUGGCACCCUCCGGCGAGCGCUGUUUGUUUAGGGCUCGGUGAGUCCAAUCAGGAGCGCAGGCUGCAGUUUUCCGGCAGAGCAGUAAGAGGCGCCUCCUCUCUCCUUUUUAUUCACCAGCAGCGCCGCGCAGACCCCGGACUCGUGCUCUCUCACCGGCGCCCUCGGCCUCUCUCUGAGCCCGGGAGCACCCUCCGCCGCGGCCGUUCUCCAUGCUCAGCGCUCGCCCGAGGUUCGGCUGCUUCCUCCUUUGCUUGUUGUCUCCCUACUUUCCUCCCUUCUACCCCUACCAGUCGCGGGCCUCUCGGCCUCCGGCCCUCUCCCGCCCGCGGUCGGCUCCGAGGGUGUCUCCCUCCUCCUCUCUGGGAGGGCUGCAGCGGCUCCCAGGUUCCCGGGACACCACGGACCAACUUCUGGUGUCUUUUCCUCUCCCCUAAGUGCUUAUCUGCGCGCAGCCUUAUCUCCGAGUUAUCUCAGUGCAAAGGGGCGGGAGCCGGUAGUCAGGCUGGUAGAGAAACUUCUGGCUAUCUUGCCCGGGUCUGUGUGUGGGCAUUAUAAUUUUUAGUGUGGUUAUCUCUGAUGAGCCGAAGCGAUUUGGAAAAGCAGCCUCGAGGAGGCCCGCCUGGCAGCUUUUUGCUUCCUUCCCCACCCCCUCUAAGUCUCCCUGUCAUUCUUCCUGCUCUCCCCUUUGGGGUGGCCUCGACUGCGGGGCGGUCUCCCGCCCCCUCCCUUGCGUUUCCCCCUCCUUUUCUCGGCUCUCUGCUCCACCCCGCUACGUCCUAUUCCGGAACGGUCUGGCCUUUCCCUGGCUGGGGAUAACCGCGGGGUGGGCCCGGGUAGCCCGGCCGGCGUGAGAUCGCUCGCUGGUGGCUGCAGACGCGGGCUGUGGCUAAGGUGUGCGGGCCCGCAGGGACGCCUGUGGGGCGUGAGGCUCCUGCCCCAUAGUUUUUCCUUACUAUUCCUGCCAGGAAGAUCUUGAACUGCCAUCCCAGCCCUGGCACCCCAGUUUCCCUAGGCUGAGUGCAUUUCUCUGGGGUUUGUGUUGGGUCUGGUCGGCACGGUUCGGAAAGCUCUGGGGACAAGCGGCGGUUUCGUUUUCAGGAGCAGGUUGCCUUCCUUGAGCUAGCGAUUUCCACUUGGAGAACAGGGAGGCAUUCCCGGAGAAGGGCACCCUGAGUGAGGCGGGAUGAGACACGCAAAGCUACUAUUCUUUUGUGUGUCAUCAGCCCGGAGGGAGCCACUCUGGGGCGGAAGGAAAACCUCCGCCAGUUUGGCGGUCACUCCUAGCAACUGGCGCGCGUGCAGAGGAAGGAUGCUGCGGAGAGGGUGGGCAGAGAGGGCUAGGGGGACCAAAGCCGUGCGGGUGAAAGAAGGAGGGUAUCCUUGGAGGACCCUGUGGCUGCUGCGCAGGCUCCAUUCUCCCUCCUCGACGCCGGGGUCCAGAGUAGAAAGGGACCUUUGAGGGAUCUAGAAGAGCUAGAAGAAGGAGUGGAGGUGAGGUGGUGCACUGCCUAAACCUUUAGUAAGGCCUCUUUAAUCUCUUUUACCGUCCCUGCCCUCCCAACCCCGCCUCAGGAGCUAAAAGCUAGCUAGAAGCAGCGCCGGACCGUGGAUGGCCUUGACUGACGGCGGCUGGUGUCUGCCGAAGCGCUUUGGAGCCGCGACUGCGGACGCGGGCGACUCCGGGACCUUUCCAUCGCGGGACCUCUCCACGCCGCCUUCCCCCAUCUCUUCCUCGUCCUCGUCCUCCUGCUCCCGCGGCGGGGAUCGUGGCCCCGGCGGCGCCAGCAACUGCAGGACGCCACAACUCGACACACAGGCGGUGGCGGGACCUGCGGCCCGCUCGUUGCUGCUCAGCCCCUACGCCUCGCACCCUUUCGGGGCUCCCCACGGACCUUCGGCUCCCGGGGUCGCUGGCCCCGGGAGUGCCUUGUCGAGCUGGGAGGACCUGUUGCUCUUCACUGACCUCGACCAGGCCGCGACCGCCAGCAAGUUGCUGUGGUCCAGCCGUGGCGCCAAGCUGAGCCCCUUUACACCCGAGCAGCCCGAGGAGAUGUACCAGACCCUCGCCGCCCUCUCCAGCCAGGGACCCGCCGCUUAUGAUGGCGCGCCCGGGGGCUUCGUACAUUCUGCAGCAGCUGCAGCUGCAGCCGCGGCGGCAGCCAGUUCCCCAGUCUACGUGCCCACCACCCGCGUGGGUUCCAUGCUGCCAGGCCUGCCGUACCUGCAAGGCGCGGGCAGCGGGCCCUCCAACCAUGCGGGUAGCACGGGGGCGCACCCUGGCUGGCCCCAGGCCUCAGCCGACAGUCCCCCAUACGGCAGCGGAGGCGGCGCGGCGGGCGGUGGGGCCGGGGGCCCUGGCAGCGCCGGCUCCGCCUCGGCGCAUGCCUCUGCGCGCUUCCCCUACUCGCCGAGCCCUCCCAUGGCCAACGGCGCAGCGCGGGAGCCUGGGGGCUACACUGCAGCGGGCAGCGGGGGAGCGGGCAGCGUGAGCGGCGGCGGCGGGGGCAGCCUGGCGGCCAUGGGCGGCCGGGAGCACCAGUACAGCUCGCUGACGGCGGCGCGGCCGCUGAACGGGACGUACCACCAUCACCACCACCACCAUCCGAGUCCUUACUCGCCCUACAUGGGAGCGCCAUUGACGCCUGCCUGGCCGGCUGGACCCUUUGAGACUCCGGUGCUGCACAGCCUGCAGAGCCGCGCCGGAGCUCCGCUCCCGGUGCCUCGGGGCCCCAGUACAGGUAAGGGUCGCGCCGCAGUGUAGGG